AGAGUUUGAUCAUGGCUCAGAGCGAACGCUGGCGGCGUGCUUAACACAUGCAAGUCGAACGCGCAGUUCCCUGUAGCAAUACAGGGGAUGGGCGCGUGGCGAACGGGUGCGUAACACGUGGAUAACCUUCCUUCAGGUGGGGAAUAACCCCGCGAAAGCGGGGCUAAUACCGCAUAACAUGACGAUGGCUCAUGCUGUUGUCUUCAAAGCCGCAAGGCGCCAGAAGAGGGAUCCGCGGCCGAUUAGCUUGUUGGCGAGGUAAUGGCUCACCAAGGCAAUGAUCGGUAGCCGGUCUGAGAGGACGAUCGGCCACACUGGAACUGAGACACGGUCCAGACUCCUACGGGAGGCAGCAGUGGGGAAUCUUGCGCAAUGGACGAAAGUCUGACGCAGCAACGCCGCGUGGGGGAUGAAGCUUCUCGGAGUGUAAACCCCUUUCGACCCGGACGAAUGCCCGCAAGGGUUUGACGGUACGGGUAUAAGAAGCCCCGGCUAACUACGUGCCAGCAGCCGCGGUAAUAC
rnacentral:rRNA from 1 species